CCCAUGCCUGUCUGGUGGGUUAGUCUGUACCGGUUUCUUCACUCUUCUGUCUUCAGGAGCAAAGAGAAGAUGCCGCUAUGGAAACAGCUUCCCGCCUUCCCAAAUGGCUUUGAAACUGCCAGCCAUGAUCUGGACUGUGUUUCUGAUGCAAAAAUUUGAAGGUUCCUAGUGAGGGCAACAUGAUGAUGCAUAUAAAAUGAUCUGGAAUAACCUGGAAUAUGGCAAGCAGUUAACUGAAACUAGAUUCACAAUCAUAAUAAUUGUCUUGAUGCCCAGCUCAAUCAGGGGUGCAGAGGACAACGCUAUCUUCUGGACAAAAGAACAAGAUCAACAGAAGACAAAUGGUGCGCCCACUCCUGUGUGGAUUGUGUGCAUCAGGACCCUGCCCGGCUCCCCAGCUGUUCCCUCGCCCUGAGCCACAGCCUCCCCAGGAAAGUGUGAUCACUUUUCCCUGUCUUGUCCUCCUGCCUGCACAGCCUGCUAUUCAUAGAAGGGGGAGUAGGAGGAGCAGGGACAGUGUGAGGCUCUUUAAUGUCAAGGUUCCACAGCCCAUGCAUUGCAUAGAUCCUACUUAGUCAUAGGUGGAAAGCGAAUGUCGUUGCCUUCUGCUAAGCCAGAAAAGUCCCUACAUGCUCACAGAUUGCUCUGUGCAGAGACUCCGAGCUCACCUGAUGGUGGAUCCCACCCAGGAAGGAUGCCAUCUUUAAACAAUUGCCUGAUUUCAUCGCGGGAACACUGUGUGCCUUCACAGAGAGGGGGUGGCUCUGCCUAGCAGUGAUAACGACUGGAGGUAUGGUGGCAAACAGGAUGUGCCUGUCAUGGGUUAUUUUUUAAUUAAAUUAAAAUUUUAAAAUGU